UGGGGAAUAUUGCGCAAUGGGCGGAAGCCUGACGCAGCGACGCCGCGUGGGGGAUGACGGCCUUCGGGUUGUAAACCUCUUUCAGCAGGGACGAAGCGAGAGUGACGGUACCUGCAGAAGAAGCACCGGCCAACUACGUGCCAGCAGCCGCGGUAAUACGUAGGGUGCAAGCGUUGUCCGGAAUUAUUGGGCGUAAAGAGCUCGUAGGCGGUUCGUCGCGUCGGCUGUGAAAUCCCGAGGCUCAACCUCGGGCCUGCAGUCGAUACGGGCGGACUUGAGUUCGGCAGGGGAGACUGGAAUUCCUGGUGUAGCGGUGAAAUGCGCAGAUAUCAGGAGGAACACCGGUGGCGAAGGCGGGUCUCUGGGCCGAAACUGACGCUGAGGAGCGAAAGCGUGGGGAGCGAACAGG
rnacentral:rRNA from 1 species